GCGGGGCGCCGGGCGAUCGCGGCGAGGGGUUCUGUGGCGGGCCGGAAGGUUCGACCCGCCGACGGUUCCUCGACGAGGAAAGUCCGGCCUCCAUAGGACAGGGCCGUGGGUAACGCCCACCGGGGGAAACCCCAGGGAAAGUGCCACAGAAAAGAAACCGCCUCGCGCAAGCGAGGUAAGGGUGAAACGGCGGGGUAAGAGCCCACCGCCUCCCGGGCGACCGGGAGGGCACGGUAAACCCGGCCCGGAGCAAACCCGAAUAGGCGGAGAGGCGCGGUCCGCGCCGCUACGAAUCCGCGGGUUGGGUGCUCUGAGGCGCUCGGCGACGAGCGUCCUAGAGAAAUGACCGCCGGGAGGCCGCAAGGCCUUCGCACAAGAGCCGGCUUACAGGCGCCCCCUCCAA
rnacentral:RNase_P_RNA from 1 species